rnacentral:rRNA from 1 species
UACGGUAGGGGGCUAGCGUUAUCCGGAAUUACUGGGCGUAAAGGGUGCGUAGGUGGUUUCUUAAGUCAGAGGUCGAAAGGCGUACGGCUCAACCGUAGUAAGCCUUUGAAACUGAGAAACUUGAGUGGCAGGAGAGGAGAGUAGAAAUUCCUAGUGUAGCGGUGAAAUGCGUAGAUAUUAGGAGGAAUACCAGUUGCGAAGGCGGCUCUCUGGACUGUAACUGACACUGAGGCACGAAAGCGUGGGGAGCAAACAGG